GAUUCAAAAACGGCAAAUACGUGCGUGGGCUUGGGUGCCGUGCGUGUACCAACCUCCACUUCCCACAGGGCAUUGGAGCUGGUGGCAGAGGUAGCAGACUGGCGCAGGGUGGUACGGAGGAACACAUGCAGCUUGACCUUGUACUCGUCACAGGCUGUGAGAGUGAAGAAGAAAUCGAUCACAGUGAUAGAAGGACGUCAAGGACGUUACAGGAGACUUACUCCUUUCAAGACCUCAUCCUUAUGGUCACUGAACAUCAUGAACAGGAAGAAGCCUCACUCUUCCAGAGAGUUUGCCACGGAUGAAUCAGACGAUGUGGUUAUGACGACAGAACUCUCCAUUACCUCUUUGCAUCCAGUGUGGUCGGAGAGCUCAUAG
rnacentral:lncRNA from 1 species